GACGAACGCUGGCGGCGUGCUUAACACAUGCAAGUCGAGCGGUAAGGCCCUUUCGGGGGUACGACGAGCGGCGAACGGGUGAGUAACACGUGGGUGACCUGCCCUCAGCUCUGGGAGUAAGCCUGGGAAACCGGGGUCUAAUACUGGAUAUGACUCCAUGACGCAUGUUGUGGGGUGGAAAGCCUUGUGCGGCUGAGGAUGGGCCCGCGGCCUAUCAGCUUGUUGGUGGGGUGANGGCCUACCAAGGCGACGACGGGUAGCCGGCCUGAGAGGGCGACCGGCCACACUGGGACUGAGACACGGCCCAGACUCCUACGGGAGGCAGCAGUGGGGAAUCUUGCGCAAUGGGCGAAAGCCUGACGCAGCGACGCCGCGUGAGGGAUGACGGCCU
rnacentral:rRNA from 1 species